rnacentral:rRNA from 1 species
CCUACGGGGGGCAGCAGUGAGGAAUAUUGGUCAAUGGGCGGAAGCCUGAACCAGCCAAGUAGCGUGCAGGAUGACGGCCCUACGGGUUGUAAACUGCUUUUAUACGGGAAUAACGCGCCUUACGUGUGGGGCUUUGCAUGUACCGUAUGAAUAAGGACCGGCUAAUUCCUUGCCAGCAGCCGCGGUAAGACGGAGGGUCCGGGCGUUAUCCGGAUUUAUUGGGUUUAAAGGGAGCGUAGGCCGCAUGUCAAGCGUGCUGUGAAAUGCCCGGGCUCAACCCGGGCCUUGCGGCGCGAACUGGCUUGCUUGAGUGCGCGGAACGCAGGCGGAAUUCGUGGUGUAGCGGUGAAAUGCUUAGAUAUGACGAAGAACCCCGAUUGCGAAGGCAGCUUGCGGCAGCGGAACUGACGCUGAUGCUCGAAGGCGCGGGUAUCGAACAGGAUUAGAUACCCGGGUAGUC